GCCGCAGACGGCGAAAACCAGAGGUGGUUACAGUCAAGUUUAGGGACUGCAGGAGCGAAUUCCCGAAGGCUUGCAGGAGCCGCCCGGCUCUGCCUCCAGCCUUUCUCUCUGGGCCUAGCGGGACUCUCCCAGGCAGGCCCCUCCCUGCCCGCGGGCGCACUUUCCCCGCCUGCAUCUGAGGCGUGGCGCAGCUGGGAGCAAAGCACAGGUGGGCUGGGCGCGGUUUGGGGUUCGGGCGUGGCAGAGUGGCGGCGGGGUCUGGGGAAGAGUUGUCUUGGGGGCAGCGCCAGCCACCAGAGCCCGAGUCAGCGCGGCCAGGACUCUGCAGGGGCAGGUAGCGACCCUUAGAGACGCAACGUGGCGCAGCGGACUCGGCUGCGUGGGGCAAGGGCCGGGGCCGGACACAGGAGCAGCGGGGAUGCCGGGUGCGCUCCGAGGGUGUGGCCCCCGGGCUGUGCGGGGCUCAGAGCUGCUUGCUGGGCGCGGUGCCCGACAAAGCUCCAUUUCUGGCCUUUGGUCUCUUUCUCGGAAAGCAGGCCUCAGUGGCCUCAGUUUCUUCCCAGAACCUGCAAUGCCCCACCAAGGUGACAAGAAGUGCAAGGAGUCGGUUUUCACUGCCAACCAAAGAGGUGACCCCCGCAAAGCAACCAUGUUGGGACAGUCCAUUUGCUGCGUUUUGAUUAUUUGCUAAGAGCAAAUACCUUUUCUGUUUGGGUUUUGCUUUUAGAAAAAAAAUGUGGCAGAUGGUGGUGGCUUUCCCCGUCAUUGAAAGAAGAAAGGUAGUAACUCUACUGGUGCACUCCUCUGAGUUGUGCUAACAAAGAAGAAUGCUGAAAGAAAAGGGAAAUGAACACCAUUUUCAGGCAGCUUCUCCAAGUUUUUUUGACAGUGUUAUAAUUUUCCUUUAGCGACUGUUGAAGCAAAUAUCUGUAUUUAUGUUCAGAUUAAACCGAGAGAGCAAAGACUGCUAAAGCCAGUAAUUUCUGGGCUGCAAAUGCAGGAUAGCUCCAGUGAAUUUCAGAUUCUUAAAGGUUUUUGCUGUAGCGAAUUCAUGACACAAAGCAUUUGGAGGGAAACCUAUUAGAGAAGAAACACAUCCUAAAUGAGAAUUACUGAGGACGGGAGGCUCUUGUCAUUUAUUGGAUUAGUUAUAGCACUUUACACAAGCCUGUAAUAUUUGUUCUGCUGCUGUGGUGUGACUGGUAAAAUGAAAAGGUAUGUCAAGGGAGUGCUUGACUGACGUUCUUAUUUCUUCCGUCUUCUUAUAUUGCUGGGAGGAUUCUACCACUGCAGGGCUAGAAAUUAAUAUCACACUCAUUUGAUAGGAAGAGCAAAAGCAAGGUUAUGAGUCAGAGACAUUUUGGUCCCAGAACAAUAACUCUAUUGAUUGAGUCAAAUAUGUUUAACUCCAACAGCAAGACCUUCCAUCUGCGUGAAAUAAUCAUGUCCGUUAAUUGUAAACAGGAGCAUCUUUGAAAGCUGAGCUAGAGGCGGAGCAACUGGUAAACCAGAUGUCCCAAAUUUCUAGGUUUGUACAUUGUAAUUGUUCUAGACUUGUGUGUGGAUAUUGGUAAAAUGACAUAGUCAGAUAUCUCACAGAUUUUGUGAGAUAUGUCCAAAGUUCCCAAGUUAAUUUAUUACUAAAGUUAGAAUUUCACUUACUGUGAGAUUGGAAUGCCAGCCAGCUACUGAACCUUAUGUGUGCCUAGGGGCCAUUUUGAGACAAUUUGCUGAAUAUUAAAAGUACAACCAAUAAUGUUUCUCUCCACAUCCACAAUAGCGCUUAGAGGAAGCAUCUGGGAUUGAGCCAUCUCACAUCUGUCUAAUCACAUUCAUUCAAAUGUGAUGGGCCCAACUGGCCUACGUACAUGGCUGCAUAUCACCAUGGGUGGAAAUUAAAUCAGAAUUUGGCUCAGGAGAGAGAUGAAGAGAAAAUGCACGUAGAUAAUUGGCUCAGAUAACAUUCUGUUUCUGGAAGUCACAAAGAGUGGAAAUUGGAAUAUGUAAAUUAAAGAAAAACAGGUAAGAAUUCACAUGAACCCCAACCACACACCCUGUGUAUGUUCUCAUUCUCAUUCUCUCUAUGGUGCCUGUGAGCAGUUGGAGUUUGAAUUUUUCAGUCAGUAAGGUUUGCUGUUUAUUCGAGGGCUGCUCCUAAAAAAUAAUCAGGUCUAGUCAAGAAUAUAGAAAAGUGAAAUUAUGCAUAUUUUCCUGGGGAAUAUAAUAGAUGUUCUCAUAGUCUUACAAUGUAAAAAAAAUGAAGGUAAGACUCUAGCUCCCUUUCUUCUAUCUUUCUGGCCUCAUUUUAGGCUAAUAUUUUCUUUUGCAACCAUAUACCAAAUUAUUACAUAUGGAAGCUGUGAAACUGAAGGUUCUGUAAAACUUUAAAGCCAGAGAACUUAUGACUCCUCCAUAUAGGAAGAGAAAUGGGAGAAUAUUAGGCUGUUUUUAAUACUGGGCAUCUGGUAUUUUUCAGUCCUUAAGAUCAAGUCCGCAAUGGAAGAAGAGCAUUCAUCUGGUACAGGUUGAUGAUUGUGUAAGCCCAAGGAGUGAUGUCAACACUGGGGUUCACCUGAGAACAUGGACAUGGUUGAUGAGGGUUUAGGAGAUGCUCAUACGAAGUCUUCAUAUGUUCCCUGGAUCCCAGCUCUGCCUUCCCACCAGAGAGGAUGUAAUUCAGCCGAGAUGCCCAGAGUCAGCUCUCUGCUCAUAUCUGUUCCGCACUGAAGCCAAUCAUCUGAGAAACCUAAGAAGUGUUUAAUGUAGUUAGGAAAGUGAGGGAUGAAGACCAUAAAUUCCUUUUCAUGUAGCAGAGUAUAUAUGUGAUACUCAUUCUGUGGUAUUUGGGGCAUAAACAAGAGUCGAUGAAGGAAUGUGAAAGUACUCGAAAUCCUGACUUUUAUCUCUAUAAAAAUGGCAUAGGGAUGAAACACACUUGGUUGUUAUGACUGUACUCUUUUCAGAUUUACUACUUGCCUUUCUACUGAUUUUUCUGUGCCACAGGUCUUGACUCCUGUAGGCUAAAUUUCUCAGCCUCUUCUGCUCACUGAUAUAUGGGAAGGUUUGGCCAAAGGUGGGUGACUGGUGGGGAGAAGGAUGAGGGAAUUCAGGGGAUUGCUGAGCCCAUUCUCUAGACAGUGCUGCUGGCACUGGCUCUGUCUUCUCCGUUUCCAUCUCGCAUCAGACGGUUCUUCCCUCUAUGGGCCUAGUCCUACCUAGACACUUUCCAGUUGGAUUCCAGUUCUGGGGAUGCUCCCUCCUGCAGGGAUCUAAGUCCUUCCCAUUGUCUUCGGCUCCUGGGCUCAGCUAGAACCAUCUUUUCCCAUUGUCCCUGUGGUGCUAGGGCUUUCAGUGGUUAUUAACGUCUGUGUUGUAUCAUCUUGCCUGAAUUUCAGCUCUCUGUAACCAGUUCCCCAAAUAAAAUUCCCCCCAUUUACCUACCUUCUGUGAGUCUGUUUGCCUGACAUGACCGUAUUAAGUAUACCCGAUAUAUUAGUGAGCUUCGGAUGAUAUCACAAUGUGCCGUAGACUGGGUGGCAUAAAAAACAAAGGAAUGUAUUUCUCAUUGUUCUGGAGCUGGGAAGUCCAAGAUAAAGGUGCUAGCCAAUUCUAUUUCUGAUGAGGGCUCUCUUCCUGGCUUGUGGAUGGCCACCUUGUCACUCUAU
rnacentral:lncRNA from 1 species